rnacentral:rRNA from 1 species
UACGGAGGGUGCAAACGUUGCUCGGAAUCAUUGGGCGUAAAGCGCACGUAGGCGGCGCGUUAAGUCGGGUGUGAAAGCCCUGGGCUCAACCCAGGAAGUGCAUUCGAAACUGGCGCGCUUGAAUAUGGAAGAGGGUCGCGGAAUUCCCGGUGUACAGGUGAAAUUCGUAGAUAUCGGGAGGAACACCAGUGGCGAAGGCGGCGACCUGGGCCAAUAUUGACGCUGAGGUGCGAAAGCGUGGGGAGCAAGCAGG